UACAGAGGGUGCGAGCGUUGUUCGGAAUUAUUGGGCGUAAAGCGCUUGUAGGCGGCCUGUUAAGUUCCGUGUGAAAUCCCCAGGCUUAACCUGGGAAGUGCGCGGAAAACUGGCGGGCUUGAGUGCCGGAGAGGGUCGCGGAAUUCCCGGUGUAGAGGUGAAAUUCGUAGAUAUCGGGAGGAACACCAGUGGCGAAGGCGGCGACCUGGACGGACACUGACGCUGAGACGCGAAAGCGUGGGGAGCAAACAGG
rnacentral:rRNA from 1 species